rnacentral:lncRNA from 1 species
CUCCUCACUGGCAUAUGGUCAAGUUGCAAUGAGCACAAGCCCGACACCGUCACCCUCACCAGCACCGGCACCGACACCGGCAUACACAAAUAUCAAAGACUUACUCUCUGUGGCAGGUCCAUAUCACAAGUUCCUGGGCUACCUCGAGUCGACUAAAUUAAUCGACACGUUCCAAAUCCAAGCCAACAACACGGUUGAAGGCAUUACGAUUUUCGUACCGAAAGACAGCGCAUUCAAGGCUCUUAAGAAGCCUUCAUUGUCAAAUCUAACUGAUGAUCAGUUCAAAUCAGUGCUCCUUUACCAUGCCUUGCCACGAUACUAUGCCCUUGCGGACUUCAAUGACCUAAGUGAGAAAGGCCUUAUUAGUACACUUGCUGGUGGCCAAUACACUUUGCAAUUCAACGAUGAGUCUGGUACCGUCCGCCUCGAUUCCGGAUGGAGCAAAACAAAAGUCACUAGCGCAGUACAUACGUCCAAGCCAGUCGCAGUCUAUCAAAUCGAUAAGGUCCUUCUUCCGGAGGCCAUUUUCGGGACCGACAUACCUCCGACACCUGCACCUGCCCCGGCUCUUGGUAUUGGCCCAUCAGCUGACACUCCAUCAGCAGCAAAAUCCGAAGAAACUGGUUCCUCAUCAAAGCCUUCGUUUUCGGGUUCAUCAUCUCCUAGGAUCAUGAUGAACUCGGGCAUUUGGACUCAG